CAAUAGCGUAUACUAACGUUGUUGCAGUUAAAAAGCUCGUAGUUGGAUUUCUGUUGUGGUGAGUCGGCCGGCUCUUCGGAGUUGUAGCUAGAUUUCAUUGCAGCAUCUUGUCGUAAUCUCCACUGGCAUUUAUUUGUUGGUGUGAGGGACCGACUCGUUUACUUGAAAAAAUUAGAGUGUUCAAAGCAGGCCUAUGCUCUGAAUAGGUUAGCAUGGAAUAAUAGAAUAGGACUUCGGUACUAUUUUGUUGGUUUCUAGGACCGAAGUAAUGAUUAAUAGGGACAGUUGGGGGCAUUCAUAUUCCAUUGUCAGAGGUGAAAUUCUUGGAUUAACGGAAGAUGAACUACUGCGAAAGCAUCUGCCAAGGAUGUUUUCAUUGAUCAAGAACGAAAGUUAGGGGAUCGAAGACGAUUAGAU
rnacentral:rRNA from 1 species